UACGAAGGGGGCUAGCGUUGCUCGGAAUCACUGGGCGUAAAGGGUGCGUAGGCGGGUCUUUAAGUCAGGGGUGAAAUCCUGGAGCUCAACUCCAGAACUGCCUUUGAUACUGGAGAUCUCGAGUCCGGAAGAGGUGAGUGGAACUGCGAGUGUAGAGGUGAAAUUCGUAGAUAUUCGCAAGAACACCAGUGGCGAAGGCGGCUCACUGGUCCGGUACUGACGCUGAGGUGCGAAAGCGUGGUGAGCAAACAGG
rnacentral:rRNA from 1 species